GGCCCCGUAGCUCAGCGGAUGGAGCACCGGCCUUCUAAGCCGACGGUCGCAGGUUCGAGUCCUGCCGGGGCCACCA
rnacentral:tRNA from 1 species